CUGCAGCACAGACCGGGGAUCUCUGCAAUGGGCUGAAUGCACUGAAAACCAACUGUGGGCAACAGGAGCUCCAAAAGCAUUCAGAUUCAGGGAUCCAUGCUGAAUUCUGCACUUGAGGCAGGCACACAAUCCCCUCGUUAAAGAGUGCUCCCUGCAAAAUCCCAGCAUCCAGCAUGGAGUGUGCAACACAUGUCCUGGGCUACACAGGAACAGCCCAAAGAAUAAACACUGGGAAAGAUCUGUGUCCAUUCAAUGCUUCAUGUGUGUGACCAUCCCGGGGGGAAUUUCUCCAAGCAGAGAGAUG